GGGAAUAACACUUGGAAACAGGUGCUAAUACCGCAUAACAGUUUAUGCCGCAUGGCAUAAGAGUGAAAGGCGCUUUCGGGUGUCGCUGAUGGAUGGACCCGCGGUGCAUUAGCUAGUUGGUGAGGUAACGGCUCACCAAGGCCACGAUGCAUAGCCGACCUGAGAGGGUGAUCGGCCACACUGGGACUGAGACACGGCCCAGACUCCUACGGGAGGCAGCAGUAGGGAAUCUUCGGCAAUGGACGAAAGUCUGACCGAGCAACGCCGCGUGAGUGAAGAAGGUUUUCGGAUCGUAAAACUCUGUUGUUAGAGAAGAACAAGGACGUUAGUAACUGAACGUCCCCUGACGGUAUCUAACCAGAAAGCCACGGCUAACUACGUGCCAGCAGCCGCGGUAAUACGUAGGUGGCAAGCGUUGUCCGGAUUUAUUGGGCGUAAAGCGAGCGCAGGCGGUUUCUUAAGUCUGAUGUGAAAGCCCCCGGCUCAACCGGGGAGGGUCAUUGGAAACUGGGAGACUUGAGUGCAGAAGAGGAGAGUGGAAUUCCAUGUGUAGCGGUGAAAUGCGUAGAUAUAUGGAGGAACACCAGUGGCGAAGGCGGCUCUCUGGUCUGUAACUGACGCUGAGGCUCGAAAGCGUGGGGAGCAAACAGGAUUAGAUACCCU
rnacentral:rRNA from 1 species